rnacentral:sRNA from 1 species
GCCCCGAACCCCAAUUCCAAGAAAAUGGAGAAAACCUUCACACUCCUUCAUACAAUUGUCACUGCAACUGUCUUCUCUGCUGUUUCCGGAUGGUACGGAUUCAUGUUCGGAAGAGAAUCUGCUCGCAAAGAACUCGGAAGUUUGAUCGAAGACCUUCGCCGCCAGAAUCCCAACUCCGAUCCGCCACAUUCACCUCCGCCUCCACAUGCUUGAAGUUGAAUUGAUUUGGGGUGCUUGGAUCAAGGUUGAUGGCAUCAAGUGGGCAGUGAGAAAAACCACCUUCAUCCAUAUAGCUUGGGACUGAGAAAAGAAAUGUCUUCAGGGCUUUCACAAAACGCUCUUCUGUGGGGGGCAUAUUUGACCAUGUUCUGAAGUCUUCUAACAUUAUCCUUGAUGGUGGAAUGUGCCGUCUUGUAGAGUUCAAAUAACAUUCGAUCCUUUUGUAUGUUGUGAGAUAGUUGUUGAAGUAUGAAUGAAUUUGGAUUGUUCUGUUUUCGAAGCCGUUUGUUUUACCUUUAUCAUUAAUGAAACUUGUUUUUCUUGUCAAAAGCAAGAAAUUGUUACGGUUCAUGCUAUUUGUCCUCGAAUUCGAAUUAAUGGAAAGCAUUCUCUGCAUUA